rnacentral:lncRNA from 1 species
CUUGCAAUAUCAAGUAUGUGGAAUUCCAUCUAGUUGUGACAUCCAAACACAACAAAGCUCGUGACUCAAUAUUUUCUUCCUUGCAACUCUCCUUGAACCUUUUUAGUCGUUCUGGAGAAGAUCUUACAAACCUCACUGCAUUACGAAUAGCUAAAAUAGCAUAGCUUAUUUCUUUCAAGUCAUCACAAGCAAUAAGAUUGAGUAUAUGAGCACAACACUUCAUAUGAAGCAUUUCUCCACCCAGUACUAGACCAUUCUUCUUCUCUUUAAAGUAACUCUUCAAUCUCAAUAAUGCUAGAUCGUUGGAAGAGGCAUUAUCAAUAGUCACACAAAAAAUCUUAUUAAUUCCCUAGUCUUUCAUACAAGAAAUCAACUCAUUUCCCACCAUAGCUCCCUUAUGGCUAGGGACUUGAAUGAAACUUAUAAUCCUUUUUUGAAGUAUCCAAUCAUUAUCAACCCAAUGAGCAGUUAAACACAAAUAACUAACAUUUUGUAUUGACGUCCAACAAUCAGUGGUCAAACAAACUCUAUGUUGACUCAACUCUUUCUUUAAUUUCUUCUUCUCAGUUAGGAACAAAUUAUAUAUAUCUCUUGCUACCGUCAUUCUUGAAGGAAAUACAAAUUUUGGGAAAAAAAUAUCUUGUAUAAGACUGAGAACCUUCAUCUUCCACAUGUCUAAAAGGUAACUCGGACAAUAUAAAGGACCUUGUAAUCUGUUUUCUAACCUCUCUUUGAACAAACUUGACAGAUUCUUCAUGCCUAUCAAUAUCCUUAGAAUGCUCACCAGUUUUAAACAUACUAUAACCUGUCAUUCUCUUUUGCUUCUUGUCCUGAACACUCUAUGAUACUUCUUGCACAAAUGUGUGAUAUGAUUCCACAAUGUACUAGUUCCGCAAUUUUUUGCAUGAUGCUUAUAUGUUUGUCCACAAUAAUUACAUUCUGUCUUCUCAUCUUCUCGAAUUUUAAAGUGAUCCCACACCUUAGACCUUUUGUUUUCCUUUUUACCUUUUCCAUCCAUUUUCACAUAUUCAGGAUCAUCCUCUAAUGGAAUUGCAUUAUCAACUUCU